rnacentral:rRNA from 1 species
UACGUAGGUGGCAAGCGUUAUCCGGAAUUAUUGGGCUUAAAGGGUGCGUAGGCGGUGCGGUAAGUGCGGUGUGAAAUCCCUCGGCUCAACCGAGGAAUUGCGCUGCAUACUGCCGUGCUGGAGGGAGACAGAGGCAAGCGGAACUGAUGGUGGAGCGGUGAAAUGCGUUGAUAUCAUCAGGAACACCGGUGGCGAAAGCGGCUUACUGGGUCUCUUCUGACGCUGAGGCACGAAAGCUAGGGUAGCGAACGGGAUUAGAUACCCUUGUAGU